rnacentral:rRNA from 1 species
AUUGAACGCUGGCGGCAUGCCUUACACAUGCAAGUCGAACGGUAACGGGCCUUCGGGUGCCGACGAGUGGCGAACGGGUGAGUAAUACAUCGGAACGUGCCCGAUCGUGGGGGAUAACGAGGCGAAAGCUUUGCUAAUACCGCAUACGAUCUACGGAUGAAAGCAGGGGACCGCAAGGCCUUGCGCGGACGGAGCGGCCGAUGGCAGAUUAGGUAGUUGGUGGGACAAAAGCUUACCAAGCCGACGAUCUGUAGCUGGUCUGAGAGGAUGAUCAGCCACACUGGGACUGAGACACGGCCCAGACUCCUACGGGAGGCAGCAGUGGGGAAUUUUGGACAAUGGGCGCAAGCCUGAUCCAGCCAUGCCGCGUGCAGGAUGAAGGCCUUCGGGUUGUAAACUGCUUUUGUACGGAACGAAAAGCCUUCUUUUAAUACAGGAGGGUCAUGACGGUACCGUAAGAAUAAGCACCGGCUAACUACGUG